AUGUUUUCCUACAAUAUAAUUAAAUGUGGCCCUCUGUUUGUGUUUACAGAGCUCUAUUUGGAUCUGGGCAGAAAGAUAGGAUGGGUAGAGAACUAGGACCUUCAANUCCUCAUUUUUNUACUGUUCCUUUCCAUGUACCUGGUAACAGUGCUUGGGAACCUGCUCAUCAUCAUGGUUAUCAUCACACAGUCUCAUCUGCACACACCCAUGUACUUCUUCCUUGCUAACCUGUCCUUUGUGGACAUCUGUUUCACCUCCACCACUGUCCCAAAGAUGCUGGUAAAUAUACAGACCCAAAGAAAGGCCAUUACAUAUGCAGACUGUAUUAGCCAGAUGUGUUUCUUCUUGGUUUUUGCAGAAUUGGACAACUUUCUCCUGGCUGUGAUGGCCUAUGACAGAUAUGUGGCUAUCUGUCACCCACUGUAUUACACAGUCAUUGUUAACCAACAGCUCUGUAUACUGAUGGUUCUGCUGUCCUGGGUUGUUAGCAUCUUACAUGCCUUCUUACAGAGCUCAAUUGUGCUACAGUUGACCUUUUGUGGAGAUGUAAAAAUUCCCCACUUCUUCUGUGAGCUUAACCAGCUGUCUCAACUCACAUGUUCAGACAGCUUUUCAAGCGACCUCAUAAUGAAUCUUGUACCUGUUCUAUUGGCAUUCAUCUCCUUCAGUAGUAUCCUUUACUCUUAUUUCAAGAUAGUGUCCUCCAUACGUUCUAUCUCCUCAGUCCAAGGGAAGUACAAGGCAUUUUCUACAUGUGUCUCUCACCUUUCCAUUGUCUCCUUAUUUUAUAGUACAGGCCUUGGAGUGUAUGUCAGUUCUGCUGUGGUCCAAAGCUCUCACUCUGCUGCAAGAGCCUCUGUGAUGUAUACUGUGGUCACCCCGAUGCUGAACCCCUUCAUUUAUAGUCUAAGGAAUAAAGAUGUGAAGAAAGCUCUGGAAAGGCUAUUAGAAGGAAAACUGUAAAGUGUAUCAUUGGACUGGCUGAAGUUUCCAUCAUUGCAGACUGUGAAGCUGCAGAGCCAGAGAUUGGGACUCUGUCUUUAGAUCAUAAAGGGAUAAGAUACCUAUGAAUAUUUUUGGAAGGUUUGUAGAAAGUGUUCAAAGGUAGAAGAGUAAAU